GAUGAAGAACGUAGCGAAAUGCGAUACUUGGUGUGAAUUGCAGAAUCCCGUGAACCAUCGAGUCUUUGAACGCAAGUUGCGCCCGAAGCCAUUAGGCCGAGGGCACGCCUGCCUGGGCGUCACACGUCGUUGCCCCCCCAUCUACUCCUUCGGGAUUGCGGGGGGCGGAUGAUGGCCUCCCGUGCGCCUCGUCGCGCGGUUGGCAUAAAUGCCAAGUCCUCGGCGACGCACGCCACGACAAUCGGUGGUUGCGAAACCUCGGUUGCCCGUCGUGUGCGGUCGUCGCGCAUCGAGGGCGCGAAAAAAUUGCCGGGCUCCGGCUCGGCUUUCAACGCGACCCCAGGUCAGGCGGGGUUACCCGCUGAAUUUAAGCAUAUCAAUAAGCGGAGGA
rnacentral:misc_RNA from 1 species